AAGAGAGUAGUUUAAAAAAAAUUUUUGGUUUCGGCCCUUAUGAUUUUGGUUAAAAUCCAAACUCUUUUU
rnacentral:tRNA from 1 species